rnacentral:rRNA from 1 species
AGGGGAAUUUUGCGCAAUGGGCGAAAGCCUGACGCAGCAACGCCGCGUGGAGGAUGAAGGUUCUCUGAAUCGUAAACUCCUGUCGGCCGGGAAGAAUGAUCGGGGUGCUAAUCAGCUCCGAUUUGACUGUACCGGCAAAGGAAGCCCCGGCUAACUCCGUGCCAGCAGCCGCGGUAAUACGGAGGGGGCAAGCGUUACUCGGAAUUAUUGGGCGUAAAGGGCGCGUAGGCGGCCGUGUGCGUCAGAGGUGAAAUCCCCGGGCUUAACCCGGGAACUGCCUCUGAUACGGCAUGGCUUGAGUCCGGGAGAGGGGAGCAGAAUUCCCAGUGUAGCGGUGAAAUGCGUAGAUAUUGGGAGGAAUACCAGUGGCGAAGGCGGCUCCCUGGACCGGUACUGACGCUGAGGCGCGAAAGCGUGGGUAGCAAACAG